rnacentral:rRNA from 1 species
CCUACGGGAGGCAGCAGUGGGGAAUUUUGGACAAUGGACGCAAGUCUGAUCCAGCCAUGCCGCGUGUGGGAAGAAGGCCUUCGGGUUGUAAACCACUUUUGUCAGGGAAGAAACGGUCUAGGUUAAUACCUUGGGCUAAUGACGGUACCUGAAGAAUAAGCACCGGCUAACUACGUGCCAGCAGCCGCGGUAAUACGUAGGGUGCAAGCGUUAAUCGGAAUUACUGGGCGUAAAGCGUGCGCAGGCGGUUAUGCAAGACAGAUGUGAAAUCCCCGGGCUCAACCUGGGAACUGCAUUUGUGACUGCAUGGCUAGAGUACGGUAGAGGGGGAUGGAAUUCCGCGUGUAGCAGUGAAAUGCGUAGAUAUGCGGAGGAACACCGAUGGCGAAGGCAAUCCCCUGGACCUGUACUGACGCUCAUGCACGAAAGCGUGGGGAGCAAACAGGAUUAGAUACCCUGGUAGUCCACGCCCUAAACGAUGUCAACUGGUUGUUGGGAGGGUUUCUUCUCAGUAACGUAGCUAACGCGUGAAGUUGACCGCCGUGGGGAGUACGGCCGCAAGGUUGAAACUUCAAAUUGAAUUGACGG